UACGUAGGGUGCAAGCGUUGUCCGGAAUUAUUGGGCGUAAAGCGCACGUAGGCGGGUCGUUAAGUCAGGGGUGAAAUCCCAGAGCUCAACUCUGGAACUGCCUUUGAUACUGGCGACCUAGAGUCCGGAAGAGGUUAGUGGAAUUCCCAGUGUAGAGGUGAAAUUCGUAGAUAUUGGGAAGAACACCAGUGGCGAAGGCGGCUAACUGGUCCGGUACUGACGCUGAGGUGCGAAAGCGUGGGGAGCAAACAGG
rnacentral:rRNA from 1 species